AUUAUUAUUAACCCUAGUCAGAGGGGUUACAUGAAAAGAAUGUGUGGCAAAUGGGAACGGAGAAACCCACAUUCAAGACUGACUGCGAAGCAACUAGUAGCUCAGUGUUCCAACAUCCAAAAACGGCAACUGCUAUCACAACUUGAGAUUGACGAGAUACAACACAAAUGCUACGGCAAGGGGGAGCCAGGACGCCAGGUCAGAGGGGAGGUUUCACCAUCUCCCCAACCGGAAAUUGGGUACGAAGCCCCAAUAAGCACAGAUACGCUGAGCGAGGCAGCGACAAACCUGAAAGAUAAGAUCAUGGCGGGAUUGAACAGGCAACCCCGAACCCCACUACAACGGCUAAGUGAAGUACCAUCAGAAAGUCUCAUGGAAGAUGUGAAUGCAGCAUUGAGAGUGAUCCCUACCACAACUGUCACAGAAACCAAUGAGCUGAUAUACGCUUCAGCAUCAGUGAUCCUAGAGGUGCUUGGCUAUAAGAGCAACCAUGGGAGCCAUGAGAAACAAUACCCACCAUGGAAACGAAGGUUGGAGGCAAAAAUCAAGGCAGCUCGGAGGGAAGUGAGCCAAAUGACAGGCCCAGAGAGGUGCAAUGAAAAGACCGAUGCCCAAGAGGUACAGCCAGAUGACCAUACCUGAAGCACUCGAAACUGGCAAGCAAAGGCUACAAGCCUUGGCCAGCCGCCUAAAGAGAUACACCAGAGAUAACGAAGCCAGACGAAUAAACCGGCUGUUCGCAACACAACCUGCGAAAGUGUACUCUCAAUGGCAGGGUAAUAACAGCAGAGCAGACCCACCAAGGCUGGAAACUGAACAGUACUGGAAAGGCAUAUGGGAAAGAGAGGCGUCACACAACAGCAAUGCACAGUGGCUGGUGGAUCUGAGGGAAGACCACAGUAACCUCCCUGAACAGAACCCAGUGACUAUCACAGUGGCAGACAUCCAACAUAGAGUCUCAGGUAUGAAAAACUGGACAGCACCCGGCCCUGACAUGAUCCACGCCUACUGGCUAAAGAAGCUCACUGCAAUCCAUGAGCGCCUGGCAGCACAAAUGAACCAGCUGCUAAGGGAUGGGACUCACCCUGAAUGGCUAACCGAAGGGCGAACGAUCCUGAUAAUGAAGGAUCCCUCAAAGGGUACAGUCCCAUCCAACUACCGGCCAAUAACCUGUCUCUCCACAACAUGGAAACUCAUGUCAGGCAUCAUCGCAGCUAAGAUAAGUGGGCACAUGGGUCAAUACAUGAGCGAAGCACAGAAGGGCAUUAGUAAGGAUACCAGAGGGGCCAAACACCAACUCCUGCUAGACAGAACAGUCGCCCAAGACUGCAGAAUGCGACACACCAACCUGUGCACAGCCUGGAUCGACUACAAGAAAGCCUAUGACUCAAUGCCACACACAUGGAUCACUGAAUGCUUGGAGCUGUACAACAUCAACAGAACUCUAAGGGCCUUCAUUGCAAACUCGAUGAGGUUGUGGAGAACCACCCUUGAAGCCAAUGGGAAGCCACUUGCCCAAGUAUCCAUCAAAUGUGGCAUAUACCAAGGAGAUGCACUGUCCCCACUGCUGUUCUGCAUAGGUCUGAACCCCCUCAGCCAAAUAAUAAACAAGACUGGCUAUGGAUACCGACUCCGGAACGGGGCCACCAUAAGUCACCUCCUCUACAUGGAUGACAUGUACAUGAUGACAUGACAUGUACAAGCUGUACGCCAAGAAUGAGCGAGACAUCGACUCACUGAUCCACACCACCAGGAUCUACAGCUCGGACAUCGGGAUGUCAUUCGGGCUCGAGAAAUGUGGGAGGAUGGUGACAAAGAGAGGCAAGGUAAUCCACACAGAAGGGGUCUCACUCCCAGAAGGAACAAUAGCAGACAUUGAGGACAGUUACAAGUACCUUGGAAUACCACAGGCAAACGGCAACCUUGAACAGGCAACAAGGAAUGCGGCAACAGCCAAAUACCUCCAACGAGUAAGGCAAGUCCUAAGAAGCCAGCUCAAUGGCAAGAACAAAUCCCAGGCAAUAAACAGCUACACCCUGCCAGUGAUCAGAUACCCUGCGGGAAUAAUAAGGUGGCCAAAGGAAGAGAUACAGACCACAGAUGUUAAGACACGAAAGCUCCUCACCAUGCAUGGAGGGUUCCACCCCAAAUCCAGCACCCUGAGACUGUACGCUAGCCGCAAGGAAGGAGGCCGAGGACUAGUGAGCGUGAGAGCCACUAUCCGGGAUGAAACAUCCAAGAUCCAUAAGUACAUCAAGGAUAAGGCCCCGACAGAUGACGUGCUGAGUGAAUGUCUCAGGCAGUGGAGAACAGAGGAUGAGAUGCUGGAAGAGGGACCAUCAUGGGAGGACAAGCCCUUACACGGGAUGUACCACCGGAACAUAACUGAAGUGGCUGAUCUCAACAAAUCCUACCAAUGGCUUGAAAGGGCUGGGCUGAAGGACAGCACAGAGGCACUCAUCCUGGCCGCACAGGAGCAGGCCCUGAGCACCAGAGCCAUAGAGGCCCAGAUCUACCACACCAGACAAGACCCAAGGUGUAGACUGUGCAAAGAGGCCCCUGAGACGGUCCAGCACAUAACUGCAGGAUGUAAGAUGCUGGCAGGGAAAGCAUACAUGGAACGCCAUAACCAAGUGGCUGGCAUAGUAUACAGGAACAUCUGCGCAGAGUAUGGACUGGAAACCCCAAGGUCAAAGUGGGAAACACCUCCCAAGGUGGUAGAGAACGAGCGAGCCAAGAUCCUGUGGGACUUCCAGAUACAGACAGACAGAAUGGUAAUGGCGAACCAACCAGACAUUGUGGUGGUGGACAAAGAACAGAGGAAAGCCGUAGUGGUGGAUGUAGCAAUACCAAGCGAUGGCAACAUCAGGAAAAAGGAACAUGAGAAACUAGAGAAAUACCAAGGGCUCAGAGAAGAACUGGAGAAGGCUUGGAAGGUGAAGGCCACAGUGGUGCCUGUGGUGAUUGGAGCACUGGGGGCAGUGACCCCCAAAUUGGAGGAAUGGCUACAUUUCAGUCUCAUCUCAGUCCAGAAAAGUGCAGUCCUAGGAACAGCAAGGAUACUGCGCAGAACCCUCAAGCUUCCUGGCCUCUGGUAGAGGACCCGAGCUUGGAAAGUGGAUAAGACCACCCGCGUAGGCAAUUCCUCAACUGGUCCUGAUGACUAAAGUAGAUGAAGUCUGUCCAUUUGUGGCCCAGGACAUAAGGAACAUCUAUAAGAGUGGCUACAUCAAGGAAGUGAUGCAGGAGACCAGUGCUCGGC